UACGGAGGGUGCAAACGUUGCUCGGAAUCAUUGGGCGUAAAGCGCACGUAGGCGGCCUGACAAGUCGGAUGUGAAAGCCCCGGGCUCAACCCGGGAAGUGCAUUCGAAACUGCCAGGCUUGAAUAUGGAAGAGGGUCGCGGAAUUCCCGGUGUAGAGGUGAAAUUCGUAGAUAUCGGGAGGAACACCAGUGGCGAAGGCGGCGACCUGGGCCAAUAUUGACGCUGAGGUGCGAAAGCGUGGGGAG
rnacentral:rRNA from 1 species